rnacentral:rRNA from 1 species
UGGGGAAUCUUGGACAAUGGGCGCAAGCCUGAUCCAGCCAUGCCGCGUGAGCGAUGAAGGCCUUAGGGUUGUAAAGCUCUUUCACCGGUGAAGAUAAUGACGGUAGCCGGAGAAGAAGCCCCGGCUAACUCCGUGCCAGCAGCCGCGGUAAUACGGAGGGGGCUAGCGUUGUUCGGAAUUACUGGGCGUAAAGCGCGCGUAGGCGGACUGAUCAGUCAGGGGUGAAAUCCCGGGGCUCAACCCCGGAACUGCCUUUGAUACUGUCAGUCUUGAGUCCGGAAGAGGCGAGUGGAAUACCGAGUGUAGAGGUGAAAUUCGUAGAUAUUCGGUGGAACACCAGUGGCGAAGGCGACUCGCUGGUCCGGUACUGACGCUGAGGUGCGAAAGUGUGGGGAGCAAACAGGAUUAGAUACCCUGGUAGUCCACACCGUAAAACGAUGAAUGCCAGUCGUCGGGUAGCAUGCUAUUCGGUGACACACCUAACGGAUUAAGCACUCCGCCUGGGGAGUACGGCCGCAAGGUUAAAACUC